UACGUAGGGGGCAAGCGUUGUCCGGAAUCAUUGGGCGUAAAGGGUGCGUAGGCGGCCGUGCAAGUCUGGCGUGAAAGCCCCGGGCUCAGCCCGGGAAGUGCGCUCGAAACUGCGCGGCUCGAGUGCCGGAGGGGAGAGUGGAAUUCCUGGUGUAGCGGUGAAAUGCGUAGAUAUCAGGAGGAAUACCGGUGGCGAAAGCGACUCUCUGGACGGCAACUGACGCUGAGGCACGAAAGCGUGGGGAGCAAACAGG
rnacentral:rRNA from 1 species